rnacentral:rRNA from 1 species
ACGAACGCUGGCGGCACGCUUAACACAUGCAAGUCGAACGAGAGAAGAGAAGCUUGCUUUUCUGAUCUAGUGGCGGACGGGUGAGUAACACGUGAGCAAUCUGCCUUUCAGAGGGGGAUACCGAUUGGAAACGAUCGUUAAUACCGCAUAAUAUAAUUGAACCGCAUGAUUUGAUUAUCAAAGAUUUAUCGCUGAAAGAUGAGCUCGCGUCUGAUUAGCUAGUUGGUAAGGUAACGGCUUACCAAGGCGACGAUCAGUAGCCGGACUGAGAGGUUGAUCGGCCACAUUGGGACUGAGACACGGCCCAGACUCCUACGGGAGGCAGCAGUGGGGAAUAUUGCACAAUGGAGGAAACUCUGAUGCAGCGAUGCCGCGUGAGGGAAGAAGGUUUUAGGAUUGUAAACCUCUGUCUUCAGGGACGAAAAAAGACGGUACCUGAGGAGGAAGCUCCGGCUAACUACGUGCCAGCAGCCGCGGUAAUACGUAGGGAGCGAGCGUUGUCCGGAAUUACUGGGUGUAAAGGGAGCGUAGGCGGGAUCGCAAGUCAGAUGUGAAAACUAUGGGCUUAACCCAUAAACUGCAUUUGAAACUGUGGUUCUUGAGUGAAGUAGAGGUAAGCGGAAUUCCUAGUGUAGCGGUGAAAUGCGUAGAUAUUAGGAGGAACAUCAGUGGCGAAGGCGGCUUACUGGGCUUUAACUGACGCUGAGGCUCGAAAGCGUGGGGAGCAAACAGGAUUAGAUACCCUGGUAGUCCACGCCGUAAACGAUGAUUACUAGGUGUGGGGGGACUGACCCCUUCCGUGCCGCAGCAAACGCAAUAAGUAAUCCACCUGGGGAGUACGACCGCAAGGUUGAAACCCAAAGGAAUUGACGGGGGCCCGCACAAGCAGUGGAGUAUGUGGAUUAAUUCGAAGCAACGCGAAGAACCUUACCAGGUCUUGACAUCGUAUGCAUAGCUCAGAGAUGAGUGAAAUCUCUUCGGAGACAUAUAGACAGGUGGUGCAUGGUUGUCGUCAGCUCGUGUCGUGAGAUGUUGGGUUAAGUCCCGCAACGAGCGCAACCCUUACUGUUAGUUGCUACGCAAGAGCACUCUGGCAGGACUGCCGUUGACAAAACGGAGGAAGGUGGGGAUGACGUCAAAUCAUCAUGCCCCUUAUGACCUGGGCCUCACACGUACUACAAUGGCUGUUAACAGAGGGAUGCAAAGCCGCGAGGUGGAGCGAACCCCUAAAAGCAGUCUUAGUUCGGAUUGUAGGCUGCAACCCGCCUACAUGAAGUCGGAAUUGCUAGUAAUCGCAGAUCAGCAUGCUGCGGUGAAUACGUUCCCGGGCCUUGUACACACCGCCCGUCACGCCAUGGGAGUCGGUAACACCCGAAGCCUGUAGUCUAACCGCAAGGAGGACGCAGUCGAAGGUGGGAUUGAUGACUGGGGUG